rnacentral:rRNA from 1 species
AGAGUUUGAUCAUGGCUCAGAAUGAAAGUUGGCGGCGUGGAUUAGGCAUGCAAGUCGAGCGAGAAAUUUUAAAGAGAUACUUCGGUUGAUUUUUAGAAUGGACAGCGGCGAAAGGGAGAGUAACGAGUAGAUACGUACCCAAGGGUUCGGGAUAGCCAUGCGAAAGCGUGAGUAAUACCGAAUAAUGUCUCCGGACCAAAGAUUUAUUGCCCUUGGAGCGGUUUGCUUACUAUUAGUUUGUUGGUGGGGUAAAGGCCUACCAAGGCUUAGAUGGUUAGCGGGUGUGAGAGCAUGACCCGUCUCACUGGGACUGAGACACUGCCCAGACACCUACGGGUGGCUGCAGUCGAGAAUCUUCCGCAAUGGACGAAAGUCUGACGGAGCGACGCCGCGUGCUGGAUGAAGGCCUUCGGGUUGUAAACAGCUGUCGUAGGGGAGGAAAUUUUGACCGAUCCUAGGAGGAAGCACAGGCUAAGUUCGUGCCAGCAGCCGCGGUAAUACGAACUGUGCAAACGUUAUUCGGAAUCACUGGGCUUAAAGGGUGCGUAGGCGGACUUGUAGGUCAGGUGUGAAAUCCCACGGCUCAACCGUGGAAUUGCGCUUGAAACCACUCGUCUUGAGGGGAUCAGAGGAGAGCGGAACUGAUGGUGGAGCGGUGAAAUGCGUUGAUAUUAUCAGGAACACCGGUGGCGAAAGCGGCUCUCUGGGAUCUUUCUGACGCUGAGGCACGAAAGCUAGGGGAGCGAACGGGAUUAGAUACCCCGGUAGUCCUAGCUGUAAACGAUCUGUACUAGUCCGUGGGGACCCCCACAUCUUCUCGGACGUAGCGAAAGUGUUAAGUACAGCGCCUGGGGAGUAUGGUCGCAAGGCAA